rnacentral:lncRNA from 1 species
AUGGCAGCUGUCAAGAACAAGCACCAUACUAAAGGAGGCAAAAAGGGAGCCAAGAAGAAAAUGGUUGACCCAUUUUCUAAGAAAGAUUGGUAUGAUGUGAAAGCACCAGCUAUGUUCAAUAUAAGAAAUACUGGGAAAACACUGGCCACUGGAACUCAAUUAAAAUCACAUCUGAUGGCCUCAAGGGUUAUAUUUUUGAAGUGAGUCUUGCUGAUCUGCAGAAUGAUGAAGUUGCAUUAGGAAAUUCAAGCCAAUUACUGAGGAGGUUCAGGGAAAAAAAAACUGCCUGAUUAAUUUCCAUGACAUGGAUCUUACCCAUGACAAAAUGUGCUCCGUGGUCAAAAAAUGUCAGACCAUGACUGAAGCUCACACUGAUGUCAAGGCUACCUACCGAUGGUUACUUGCUUCAUCUGUUCUGUGUAGGUUUUCCUAAAAAGUGCAACAGUCAGAUUUGGAAGACCACUUAUGCCCAGCACCAGGCGUCAGAUGCACACAAAGGUGAUGGAAGUCACGACCUGAGAGGUGCAAAUGACUUCAAAGAGGUGGUCAGUAAAUUGAUUCCAAACAGCAUUGGAAAAGACAUAGAAAAGACUUGCCAGUCUAUUUACUCCACAAUGUCUUCUUUAGAAAAGUAAAAAUGCUGAAGAAUCCCAAGUGUGACUUGGGGAAAACUCAUGGAGUUACAUGGGGAAGGUAGUAGCUCUGGAAAAGUGACUGGGCAUGAGACCAGUGCCAAAGUUGAACAAGUCCAGGAAGGUUUAAAAUGCAGUCCUUUAAUGAUGACAGAU